rnacentral:rRNA from 1 species
AUUGAACGCUGGCGGCAGGCCUAACACAUGCAAGUCGAGCGGAGCGGCGGACGGGUGAGUGAUGCCUAGGAAUCUGCCUGGUAGUGGGGGAUAACGUCCGGACCCGGGAACUUAUACCACAUACUCUCAGAUUCGCCUUGAUCGGAUUAUCUAGUUGGUGGGGUAAAGGCCUACCAAGGCGACGAUCCGUAACUGGUCUGAGAGGAUGAUCAGUCACACUGGAACUGAGACACGGCCCAGACUCCAACGGGAGGCAGCAGUGGGGAAUAUUGGACAAUGGGCGAAAGCCUGAUCCAGCCAUGCCGCGUGUGUGAAGAAGGUCUUCGGAUUGUAAAGCACUUUAAGUUGGGAGGCGUUACCAACAGAAUAAGCACCGGCUAACUUCGUGCCAACAGCCGCGGUAAUAC